UACGAAGGGGGCUAGCGUUGCUCGGAAUUACUGGGCGUAAAGCGCACGUAGGCGGCUUUCUAAGUCGGGGGUGAAAUCCUGGAGCUCAACUCCAGAACUGCCUUCGAUACUGGAGAGCUCGAGUCCGGGAGAGGUGAGUGGAACUGCGAGUGUAGAGGUGAAAUUCGUAGAUAUUCGCAAGAACACCAGUGGCGAAGGCGGCUCACUGGCCCGGUACUGACGCUGAGGCACGAAAGCGUGGGGAGCAAACAGGG
rnacentral:rRNA from 1 species